rnacentral:rRNA from 1 species
GACGAACGCUGGCGGCGUGCUUAACACAUGCAAGUCGAACGGAAAGGCCCUGCUUUUGUGGGGUGCUCGAGUGGCGAACGGGUGAGUAACACGUGAGUAACCUGCCCUUGACUUUGGGAUAACUUCAGGAAACUGGGGCUAAUACCGGAUAGGAGCUCCUGCUGCAUGGUGGGGGUUGGAAAGUUUCGGCGGUUGGGGAUGGACUCGCGGCUUAUCAGCUUGUUGGUGGGGUAGUGGCUUACCAAGGCUUUGACGGGUCGCCGGCCUGUGAGGGUGCCCGGCGACAUUGGGACUGAGAUACGGCCCAGACUCCUACGGGAGGCAGCAGUGGGGAAUAUUGCACAAUGGGCGGAAGCCUGAUGCAGCAACGCCGCGUGCGGGAUGACGGCCUUCGGGUUGUAAACCGCUUUCGCCUGUGACGAAGCGUGAGUGACGGUAAUGGGUAAAGAAGCACCGGCUAACUACGUG